rnacentral:rRNA from 1 species
UCAGGAUGAACGCUAGCGGCAGGCCUAAUACAUGCUUGUCGAACGGUGAUAUUUAUAUCAUAGUGGCGCACGGGUGCGUAACACGUAUGCAACCUACCUAUUAUUGGGGGAUAGCCUUUGGAAACGGAGAUUAAUACCGCAUAAUACGAUUAACUGGCAUCGGUUGAUUGUUAAAGCAUUUGCGAUAAUAGAUGGGCAUGCGUCCAAUUAGUUAGUUGGUGUGGUAAUGGCUCACCAAGACGAUGAUUGGUAGGGGAUCUGAGAGGAUAAUCCCCCACACUGGCACUGAGAUACGGGCCAGACUCCUACGGGAGGCAGCAGUAGGGAAUAUUGGGCAAUGGGCGGAAGCCUGACCCAGCCAUGCCGCGUGCAGGAAGACGGCGUUAUGCGUUGUAAACUGCUUUUUUAUAGGAAGAAGGAUCCCUUGCGAGGGAAGGUGACGGUACUAUAAGAAUAAGCACCGGCUAACUCCGUGCCAGCAGCCGCGGUAACACGGAGGGUGCAAGCGUUGUCCGGAUUUAUUGGGUUUAAAGGGUGCGUAGGCGGUUUAUUAAGUCAGUGGUGAAAGACGGUCGCUCAACGAUUGCAGUGCCAUUGAUACUGGUAGACUUGAGUGAGAUUGAGGUAGCUGGAAUGGAUAGUGUAGCGGUGAAAUGCAUAGAUAUUAUCCAGAACACCGAUUGCGAAGGCAGGUUACUAAGUCUUAACUGACGCUGA